GGCAAAGUUCAGCACCAUCCUCUCUGCUGAAAUAACCAACAUGGUGCUCAUUAAUUAGUCAUGUGAACACUAGGGAUAACCACCCUCCCCUCCUUAAUCAGGAUCACAAAUGCUAGCUUUCAUAUGGAUUUCAAGCUGGGUGAAAUGACUUUUUUUGCUUGUAAAGAAGAAAUGAUGAUGGAGGUCUCAUCAGGAAGUGAUGCAGAAGACUGGGACAGGUCAUGUGGUAACAAAUACUAACUAUCAUUAGUAUAUGUUAUAAGGUAUUGAUCCAAAUUUUUAUGUUUAUAAAUAGUUAACAUCUCCAAACCAUUUCUUGAUAUUAAUUUCAUCCAGUGAUUUAAAUUGACACCUUCAUCAUAUUGUAAAUUAUAGUUUUGAUUUUCCUUUUUGACAAUGAAUUAAGAGGAUACUUUAGAACUUUCAAACUUAAUAAAAAACUUGU
rnacentral:lncRNA from 1 species